rnacentral:rRNA from 1 species
UACGGAGGGUGCAAACGUUGCUCGGAAUCAUUGGGCGUAAAGCGCACGUAGGCGCCUGACAAGUCGGGUGUGAAAGCCCUGGGCUCAACCCAGGAAGUGCACUCGAAACUGUCAGGCUUGAAUAUGGAAGAGGGUCGCGGAAUUCCCGGUGUAGAGGUGAAAUUCGUAGAUAUCGGGAGGAACACCAGUGGCGAAGGCGGCGACCUGGGCCAAUAUUGACGCUGAGGUGCGAAAGCGUGGGGAGCAAACAGG